CCGGUAGUAGCUCAACUGGUAGAGCACCUGCUUGCCAUGCAGGAGGUUGCGGGUUCGGGUCCCGUCUAUCGGU
rnacentral:tRNA from 1 species